CUUAAUAAAUUUUUGUUUUACUUUUUAUGAUUUAUUAGGUUUUCAAUCUAUAGUGAACUUAAAUAAACUUGCUUAUCAAAACUCGAACUCAAUAAAUGUGCAAUCUGAAAAUUUGAUAAGAUUUUCAGACUUUAUUUCCUCUUUCUCAUUUUCAAAUAAAAAUCUAGAUUUCAAAAAAAUACUUAUGGAAUACAUUUUUCUUUUAUAAUCUUACCGAUUAUGUAUAGUAACCAAAGCACCAAUCCUAAAGACGACAUUUGAACCAAUAUUUUUGCAUGACUGGAAUU